UAGCUGCAGGCCCACCAUUGCUCCACACUCCAGGCCCUGUUCCUCUUCAUGGGCCUGGCACUCCAUCCCGCCCCCUGGACUACUUCUGCUUUACCACCCUCCUGGACUUUUGUUGUUUUGGGUGGUUUAGGCAUCUGGAGCCGCCUUUUUGAGGGGGGAAAAUGUAAGGUCUGUUUUGGGUUUUGUUUCUUGUUCAUUGUUUUCAUGUCUUUUAUUUUGUAGUUUGAUUUAUGCUGUUUGUGUCAUGCUUCCCUUGCCCUCAUGUAUCUCUGCCUUGUGUAUGUGUCAUGCUUCCCUUGCCCUCAUGUAUCUCUGCCUUGUGUAUGUGUCAUGUUCUAAUUGGUUAUUGUCUUGUCAUGUGAUUAUCAGUUCUGUUUGCUCAUUGGUUGCUUUAGUUAUGUGUCUUGUUUCCCAUUGGUUUGUUCCGUUAUGUUACCCUCAUUGUUUACUAUAAGUAGCCAUGUCAUUGCCAUUGUCUCUUGUCAUGUAUUAACGCAUAUACCUGCUGUUGGGGAGUCUAGUCUGUUUUAGUCAAGUCUGUUCAUACCUCGUCAAGUCUUUGUUUAUUGUUUGGAUUUUGGAUUGCACCUUGUAAAUAAACUGCACUUGGGUUCAUCUACGCUUGCCUUCAGUGGACUCUUUACAAAUAUAUACAUUUUAUAGAAAAAAAAUUAUACUUUGGCCCAAAGCAUUGCUUAACAAUGAUACUCUAUUAAUAACAAUAUGCAAAUGUGAUUUUUAUAUCAUUGUGUUGAGGGAACGGAGCGAGGCUGGUGGAGUUAAUGUUAAUGCGUGACACCUGCACCACUCACCGGUCUCAAGUCCUAUGGAGGAGCUCCAGAAGGAUAAAAGGAGUAAGUGUAAGAUGAGAAGGACCAGGCCUGGAUUUUAUUUUGUGUUUUGUUUCUGUUUGCACUCUUUUGUGUUUAUUUUUGUUAUUAAAGUUUUUGUUUAAAUGUUCGCCGGUUCCCGCCUCGCGCACAAACAGAAACAAAACACAAAAUAAAUACCAUCUCAUAUUACAAAGAUUGGAAAAAAACUAUUUUGAAUAUUUUAAACUCAUUAAUUUUAUCAAUUAAAAAUUUAAUUUGUGGUUGCACAGAUAUCUAGCAAUUUCAACCAUGAAUCAUUAACUAAAUACUCUUUAUGAAAAUGUGUAUUUACAUCUUAUUCCAUCUUAGUUUCUCUCCAG
rnacentral:lncRNA from 1 species